GCCUGGCUGGCUCAGUUGGUAGAGCAUGUGACUCUUGAUCUCGGGGUUGUGAGUUUGAACCCCACGUUGAGUG
rnacentral:tRNA from 1 species